GAUGAACGCUGGCGGCGUGCCUAAUACAUGCCAGUCGAGCGAACGGACGAGAAGCUUGCUUCUCUGAUGUUAGCGGCGGACGGGUGAGUAACACGUGGAUAACCUACCUAUAAGACUGGGAUAACUUCGGGAAACCGGAGCUAAUACCGGAUGAUAUUUUGAACCGCAUGGUUCAAAAGUGAAAGACGGUCUUGCUGUCACUUAUAGAUGGAUCCGCGCUGCAUUAGCUAGUUGGUAAGGUAACGGCUUACCAAGGCAACGAUGCAUAGCCGACCUGAGAGGGUGAUCGGCCACACUGGAACUGAGACACGGUCCAGACUCCUACGGGAGGCAGCAGUAGGGAAUCCUCCGCAAUGGGCGAAAGCCUGACGGAGCAACGCCGCGUGAGUGAUGAAGGUCUUCGGAUCGUAAAACUCUGUUAUUAGGGAAGAACAUAUGUGUAAGUAACUGUGCACAUCUUGACGGUACCUAAUCAGAAAGCCACGGCUAACUACGUG
rnacentral:rRNA from 1 species